UUGUACGUCCAAAAAACGUGAUGACGCGUUUCGCCUUGGCGGCUUCCUCAAAUCACCAGGAAGCCGCCAAGGCGAAACGCGUCAUCACGUUUUUUGGACGUACAA